UACGUAGGGGGCAAGCGUUGUCCGGAAUCAUUGGGCGUAAAGCGCGUGUAGGCGGUUCAGUAAGUCUGCUGUGAAAGUCCAGGGCUCAACCCUGGGAUGCCGGUGGAUACUGCUGAACUAGAGUACGGAAGAGGCGAGUGGAAUUCCCGGUGUAGCGGUGAAAUGCGCAGAUAUCGGGAGGACACCAAUUGCGAAGGCAGCUCGCUGGGACGUCGACUGACGCUGAGACGCGAAAGCGUGGGGAGCAA
rnacentral:rRNA from 1 species